UCUUGCUGCAGCCGCUUGGAGUAAUUGCAGGCGCGCUUGCUGGCCAUGGAGUGGCAACUCUGCUGGCUGUUCUUGGUGGCUAAUUACUAGGGUCAUUCUUAUCCGAAAAGGUUAUUGCAUACAUUGGCGGUACGCUAUUCCUAGUAUUUGCUGUGGUAACCUUGGUAGAGGUCGUAACCUGAAAAGAGUCGUCGCCCUCUUCGAAAUUUGUAUUUAGGAGCAGAAUUUAUGUCCAUAGGUUGCUAUAUAUAGAGCUGACAGGAAUUAUUAUGAGUGCCAUCAGCUUCCAGGUGAUUAUUUGUUUCCAAUUAGCAGUUUGAAACUGGCCCAAAAUUUCAUGAGUUCUUAAAUAUCAUUCAAAACUCAGAGACUAUGUAGAUUUGGAAGUUGUUUAUAUGACCAAAGAUCCAUAUUUACUACUGUUGUCA